CCUACGGGGGGCUGCAGUGGGGGAUAUUGCACAAUGGAGGAAACUCUGAUGCAGCGACGCCGCGUGAGUGAAGAAGGCCUUCGGGUCGUAAAGCUCUGUCCUAGGGGAAGAUAAUGACGGUACCCUAGGAGGAAGCCCCGGCUAACUACGUGCCAGCAGCCGCGGUAAUACGUAGGGGGCGAGCGUUGUCCGGAAUUACUGGGCGUAAAGAGUUCGUAGGCGGUCUGAUAAGUCAGAUGUGAAAGGCGUAGGCUUAACCUAUGUAAGCAUAUGAAACUGUCAGACUUGAGGUAAGGAGAGGAAAGUGGAAUUCCUAGUGUAGCGGUGAAAUGCGUAGAUAUUAGGAGGAAUACCAGUGGCGAAGGCGACUUUCUGGACUUAAACUGACGCUGAGGAACGAAAGCGUGGGGAGCAAACAGGAUUAGAUACCCGAGUAGUC
rnacentral:rRNA from 1 species